UCGCGGGAGGCGGCGGCGGCGUCGCGGGGGCCGCUGCGCGCCCGCUAGAAACGCCGAGCCUGGGGUUGAGCCGGGCAGCGGCUCUGCCGUGAGGGCGGUUGGGGGCGCCGCCUGGUCCCGCCGCGAGGGCCUCGGCGCUGUGGGUCGCAAGGAGUUUGGAGUCAGAACAAGCCAGAGUGAUCUUUAGAUUGACUACGGAAGAUUGAGCAAGGCAAAUGCUGUUAUCCUACUCUGCCAAAGGAACCAGUGAGAAUUCCCACAGCCUAGAGGGCUCAAGCAGCUUGGUCCUCAAAUGCUUUAUAUCAGAAAAGCUCUGCAAAGGAUUCAUGUGAAUCGCUAGAGGUCCUUCACUGCAGUUUCAGGACCACUGUCAAAGAUAAAUUAUUCUACAUCAUGCUGCAAGUAUUACAGCAGUGAAAAAGGGCUUAGCACAGGGAGCUGAGUAACCAGUUCACACUGGCUGAUACAAUGCUGGAGAAGAUCCAUGACACCAGCAGAUGCUACAGCUUCAGCACCAAGUACUACUGUCAAGGACUGGGCUCUACCCACCUCAUUAGGCAGUGAGCACGGCGUGCCUGUCGCCUUUUCUCUGCUAGAAUUUUUGAAGCUUCUUCUGCAUCAGUUGUUCCUGCUGUGAGCUUCCCUGGAAGAACAUCAAGAUUGGAAAGAUAGGCUGGGAAAUGAGAGACUGCCCAGCACUGUGAUGCUUGGAUAGUGGCUGAAAUGGGUCUAGUUCACACUAUUAAGCCAUCCUUGUUUUUCCUAGACAUGCAUCAGCAUCUUCAGCAGAUGAAGCAUGGGAUAAGUAAGAGUAUCCCUGGAUUUCAACAUUUUCACAUUUCCAUUAGCAACAAAUGUUCUCCAAACAUGGGUUGCCUGGAGUUUCCUGGCUGAGAUUAGAAGUGGCACGAUGCUUCACAGGUGAAGCUGGAUAUUGUUUGGCAUUUUUGGGAGACUGAGGAUAAGUCUUUGCAACUGUCCUGAUGAGGAAAACAAAAGUCAAAGAGUCCGUUAUGCAACUGGGAAUGAAGUUCUGUCUUUAUAUAUAUGAUUCUUCUUGUUGUCUCUGUCUACACAGUAAUAUCAGCAGUUUUGCACAAUAUUGCGUAGAAAAUAGGCUGGAGGCAAAACAAUCAGAACCUGAAAUGCAGGAAAUUAUCAAGCAAGUGCAAAUGAUUACAGGAAAGUCUAAUAUAAAAUAUCAAAAAUAUUCUCUGAGUUGUGGGAAAGCAAUAUGAUAUCAUGGACUAACAAGUGCGAUUUCAUAAAUAUUUUUGUCAACGUUGUUGUAUUCAAUAGCUCAUCUCAGCAUUUAAAGCAAAGCUAUGACUGCUUUCUGUCUGGAGCAAUUAUGAUGAGUUGUAACAUGAUGCUUUCAUCUGAAUACAGCCUUCUCAAACCUG